GCGGGGGUUGCCAAGCCUGGUCAACGGCGCAGGGCUUAGGACCCUGUCCCGUAGGGGUUCGUGGGUUCAAAUCCCACCCCCCGCA
rnacentral:tRNA from 2 species